GGGUCUGUAGCCUAGCGGAGCUCAGGCACUCGUCUUCUAAACGAGCCAACGCAGGUUCGAAUCCUGCCAGACUCA
rnacentral:tRNA from 1 species